AUUAAAUAUGGUGACAUCUAGUGCACUGUCUACUGUCUGUUAAGGGCUUCCUGUUUAUACAUGGAUCUGUGUUACGUUCAAGUUUCACAGUGAUGAAAUGAAUGCUAAUUUAGUGUAAAUGUCUAAGCUUUUGGAUUCACCUGUAACACUGUAUGACUGAGGGAGCGCGUAGCAGCGGGUGCAGUACACCCUCCGAGACAAUGAUGUCACUGUUGCAGCAAACAGGAUGAAUUUCAACCACCCCAAAACUACAACAGGAAGAAGAAGAAAAGAAAAGUCAAUCAGGUGCCAGUUUUUGUGUGACUUUUACAGUCAUCACGGUUGAAAAUGCCGGUAAAACACCCCUGCAAAUGGGACAUGCUGAUAUUGGACUCUCUGCUGUCUAAAUUGGAGCAAUCGCCGAAUGCAUUCAUCAGGGCCAGGGAUGAGCUUGAGGAAAUAUUCGUGCCACGAGGAAGGCUAGCUCCUAUGAAUUCCUAAAGUCCAUCAUGAACUAAGGUUUUUGUUUUUUGCGAGGCAUCCCCGCCGCUGACAGCUAAUGGAAUUGCUCUUCACCUCCCGUGAAGCACGGUGCGUAUGAUCCCACGGUGGUAAAACUGGAGAUGGAUGUGGAAUCUGCGCUUGUCAGUUGCGAGGCCGAGAUGUCUCGGAUGCCGUCAUUCGUUUGCCCAAGAAGCGCCUGCAACUUUAAGAGGCAAAUCAUCCGUCAUGUUAGCCGCGUCUAUCCUUCUGUCACAUUUGGAUUACGCACAAAAAAAAAAACCCAAUCCAGCAACUUUGUGCAAAUAAUGUUCUUUCCAUCCGUGACUCUCAUCUCAUUUGUGGCUGAAAGUGUGCAAUCCUGUCCACCUCUGCAGUUUAACACCUUGGAAAAGUAAGAGUGUGUGUGAGGGGGAUCGGGAAUGGGGGGGGUCUUACAACACAGUAGUCUCUUUAUUUGGCAGUGCCUGGGAAGGCCGAGGCCUCUCACUGCACGAGUCGACCUAAGCAACAGCUGCUGUUCACAGCAACAUUUCCUAUUUCUGCAUAAGGUGGAUCGUGUAACUCUCACUUUAACGCCCUUAGAGGCCACGUGAAGGACAAAGCCAGCACAGCCGUAAACAUAACUAAUGUUUUCAUCCAGCCGUUCAGCGUUCCAAUUUGAUUUCACUGCUUCCAAAGUCAAACUGUCAGUCCUGAUUAGAGGAAGGAACCCGAGUUCCACACCAAGACUUCCCUUGAGCUCCCAUUAGUGCAAAGUUUCAACGAGGAUACAGGAAGUACUCAGUGUACCAGUACGAUAAUCCUAACGGAAUUGAGAUGCAGUAUCCUAAGUAGCAGUUGACCUUGUUACUGUGGUAACAAAUAUUUACCUUUGAUCAAAGUCUCAAAAUGUUGAAUGACGGAUCUACUCCCACCACUAGGUACAUGAUGAAGCAUUUAUUCCAUCGUUAUUCCACCGUUUAAACAUGAUUUUAAUGUUUUUGUCUUUUUUUGAUGGACUCAAAUAAAUAUAUGCUCGUUUGUUCAAGUCAUUCAU